rnacentral:rRNA from 1 species
UGGGGAAUUUUGGACAAUGGGGGCAACCCUGAUCCAGCAAUGCCGCGUGUGUGAAGAAGGCCUUCGGGUUGUAAAGCACUUUUGUCCGGGAAGAAAUCGCACCUGAUAAUACCGGGUGUGGAUGACGGUACCGGAAGAAUAAGGACCGGCUAAUUACGUGCCAGCAGCCGCGGUAAUACGUAGGGUCCAAGCGUUAAUCGGAAUUACUGGGCGUAAAGCGUGCGCAGGCGGUUGUGCAAGACCGAUGUGAAAUCCCCGGGCUUAACCUGGGAAUUGCAUUGGUGACUGCACGGCUAGAGUGUGUCAGAGGGGGGUAGAAUUCCACGUGUAGCAGUGAAAUGCGUAGAGAAGUGGAGGAAUACCGAUGGAGAAGGCAGCCCCCUGGGAUAACACUGACGCUCAUGCACGAAAGCGUGGGGAGCAAACAGG